AGUGAACGCUGGCGGCAGGCCUAACACAUGCAAGUCGAGCGGCAGCGGGUCCCCGCGAGGGGAUGCCGGCGAGCGGCGGACGGGUGAGGAACACAUCGGAAUCCUGCCUGGUUGUGGGGGAUAACGUAGGGAAACUUACGCUAAUACCGCAUGCGACCCUGAGUCGACGGACUUGGGGUGAAAGUGAGGGACCUUCGGGCCUCACGCGACCAGAUGAGCCGAUGUCGGAUAGCUAGUUGGCGGGUAACGGCCCGCCAAGGCGACGAUCCGUAGCUGGUC
rnacentral:rRNA from 1 species